CUGGCUGUCUGACUUUGAGAUGGUACCUUUUAUAAGGUCAUCUCCAUCACCCUCAUUGAAAGUGCCUCCUUGGACUGGCCAAAAGCAGUUAGGUAAUGGUUUUCGGUGAACGACAGUGAGGUAAUGGCUACAGAUACAGGAUGCUCUUGUGUUGCCUUUCCAUUCUUUGCUAUGAGCCUUCAUACACGGAAUUCGACAUCAGUGGCAAUGUCCUCGCUCUGAUCUUCAACCAAGGCAUGAUCUGGAUGGGCUCCUUCUUUGCUCCCAGCCUCCCAGGCAUCAAUAUCCUUCGACUCCAUACAUCCAUGUACUUCCAGUGCUGGGCCGUUAUGUGCUGCAAUGUUCCUGAGGCCAGGGUCUUCAAAGCUUCCAGAUCGAAUAACUUCUACCUGGGCAUGCUACUGCUCAUCCUCUUCCUGUCCACCAUGCCUGUCUUGUACAUGAUCGUGUCCCUCCCACCAUCUUUUGACUGUGGUCCCUUCAGUGGCAAAAAUAGAAUGUUUGAAGUCAUUGGAGAGACCCUGGAGCAUGAUUUCCCAAGCUGGAUGGCGAAGAUCUUGAGACAGCUUUCGAACCCUGGGCUGGUCAUUGCUGUCAUUUUGGUGAUGGUUUUGGCCAUCUAUUAUCUCAAUGCUACUGCCAAGGGCCAGAAGGCAGCAAAUCUGGAUCUAAAAAAGAA
rnacentral:sRNA from 1 species